GGCUGGGGUACUUCUCUGCUCCGACCGGGCUGGUGUAUUUCUCUGCUCUGACCGGGCUGUUCUGAUGGGAUUUCUCUGAUCUGAUAUGUAUUUUUCUGCUCUGACGGGUGCUCUGCCGGGUGUUUCUCUGCUCUGACGGGUGCUCUGCCGGGUGCUCUGACGGGUGUUUCUCUGCUCUGAAAGGGCAUUUCUCUGCUCUGACCGGGCUUCUCUGAGGGACAUUUCUCUGCUCUGAAAGGGCAUUCCUCUGCCUUGACCGGGCUGCUCUGAGGGUAUUUCUCUGAUCUAAUAGGCAUUUCUCUGCUCUACUCUACGGGCUACACUAUUUUGCGCCUCUGCUCUAUGGGCUGCUUUGAUCUAUUUUAAUCGCUACUCAGCGAGAAAUAAGUCGCCUUUUGGCAUGCUAUUGCUAUCUAUGGGUCUUCUCACGCGCUGGAUUUCUUACGCGCUCAACAACAGGGGGUAUAUUGUUCAGACUCGACAAAUAUUUAUGACGGGUUUUCUCACAUGAUCAGAGUAUCAUAUUUCUCAACUUCGACACGGGUCUUCCUAUGUUAUUCGGGUAUUCUUGCAGCGGUCUUCUGGUUUAUCUAACACAAAGCAUUCAUAUUGCUUAUCUAUGCAAAGUAUUCAAUAUGGGGUAUUCUCAGCGCUGGUUUUCUUAUGCGCCCAAAGAAAUGGAAAUUAUUUAUCUUUGUUAACAUUCAACAAACAAGAAGGAAAUCUAACUUGGAACUACAAUUCCAAAGUCAAGGGAAAAAUGCUUAUCUUUGCUUUCUUAUAAUAUUAAAACUUUUAUGACUUCAUGAUUUGCAGGGACUAAGGAAAACAGCACAGCGCUGGCUUUAACGAUACUUCGCUGGUUGAACACGAAGAAUACCCGGUUCAACCAGACCAGAGGGGGGAGUGGUUGAUGAGGAGUGAUAUGUGCAUAGUAGGGAAAUGGUGUAAACCAGAGAAGUCAUCCUCGCCAGAGGAGUCGCAUCUGACAGAGAAGUCAUCCUCCCCAGAGGAGGCGUAUUUGCCAGAGAGGUCAUCCUCGCCAGAGGAGUCAUAUUUGCCAGAGAGGUCAUCCUCGCCAGAGGAGUCAUAUUUGCCAGAGAGGUCAUCCUCGCCAGAGGAGUCGUAUUUGCCAGAGAGGUCAUCCUCGCCAGAGGAGUCGUGCUUACCAGAGGAGUCACCUCCGCCAGAGACAUCAACAUCGCCAGAGAAGACGCCCUCGCCAGAGAAGACAUUUUCACCAGAGGAGUCACUAAAAGCGCGGGGAGGUCUCCCGCGUAAAACCGAAAUUACUAUCUUACCCUUCAAUGUAUUAAAGGGGCUUAAGCCCAAUUAUCUUAGGGAAUGGGCUUGAGGCCCUAAGGAUUUAUUUACAUGCUUAUAAAUAGAGACUUAGUAGUAGGUUAGGGGGGAUCAUCUCAUUUUUAUUCAUUCAUCUCUUGUAAAAUGUAUUUCUCUCGAAGUAUAGUGAAAAAACCCCAAAACACCCCGUGGACGUAGGUCUUCUCGACCGAACCACGUAAAUCCGUGUCGUUUACUGCUUUCUAGAUUAGGUGUUGGUUUCGUAAUUUACCACAAUAAAAUAAUCAUUUAAAUAAAUAGAAAAGAAUAGUGCUUACAGUCAUAAGUCUGGACCAUAGGACGUGAUCAACAAGACAAGAAUUAAGUAAUAUUCAUUUUAUAUAUAUUUAAUCUAAACUAGACUACGAGAGUGAAGUUAUCCAACUCCACUUUGGGUCAAAAAAACCAAAGAAAAGUGAGCCAUAAACGAUGUGACUCUUGGGGUCACUAAAGACCACCAACUGACAACUAAUGCAAACUUCAUAAAUACAUAUGAUAAAAAUGCAUAUAAUGUGGCAUUGGAUGAAUAAAUAAACUUUAUUAAAAAAAUAUAGGAUUAAAUACAAAAUACAAUCUCGCGGUUGUCCCUUCAUGCGACAAAAAUAACCCUAUGACAAUGUAAGUUGUGUUUAAUUCCCUAAGGUACCAAUUAGUAAAUAAACUCGUCCGGUGGCUAAACGGGCGUUUAAUUCCAUCGAAAAAAAUUUAUUUUUUAGUUUUAACUUUUAGGGCCUACUUACUGUUUAAUAGCGGUAGAACUUAAUUUUCACUUCACUCACUUCAACAGCUGACAAACCCUUCAUUUUGUUCUCUUUUUCUCCACCUGUCGAAGUUUGAAAAUCAAUCGGUGACUAGUGCCCAGUGACAUGCAAUGGCUGAAGAAGAUAAAUGAAAAGAAAGAUUAGUAAAAUGGAAGAGUUCAAUUGAUGGAUUCUCUGUAAUAACCCCACCUUAACUAUAUUAUUAUUUGCUAAUAUAUGAUUAAGUAGAAAUGUACAUUCUUAAUAAAUUAGAUAUAUUUGAUUAGUUUACAUCAAAGAUAGUUACAUGUAACAUUUGAAUUUGUUGAGUAUUUAAAGAGUUGAACUAUAUUACAAUUUGUAUCUAUGGCAUCCCAAUUAUUUUAAGAUGGACCAGAAUUUUAUUUUAGUAGGCCCAAAUAGUUUGAUUUAUUUAGCUAAGUUUUGAGCAACUUAAUAAACUCAGUAUUCAUUUAUUUGGGACUAAGAAUAGUGAAAAGGCCCAAUAAUUAUUAUUUAGGCUAGUUAUUACUUGGGCUUUUGUUAAUAUAUGAAAAAGGCCCGAAGCCCAACUUUAAGUAUUAAUCAGCCUUAUUUGCCCAACUUUUCAACAAAAAAAAAAUUAGAGUAUUUAGAUUUAUGAAAGCAGAUUAGCUAUUCAGCCAACACGUGGCUUCCAACCUUAUACUCAGCUGCUCUUAGACCGACUCAAACCAAUUUUAAAUGAGUUCCGGUAACUCUGUUUUCCCCAUUCUGCCAAUUCUAAACCACAUCAAGCACUCAUCUAUCAAACCAAUCAAUCAUCUACAAUCAAUCAUCCCCUAUUCACAACAAUUCAAUUCUUCAAGGAGGUAGUAUUUCUUUCAUACAAUCAAUUCCUUAUGUAUAUAACAAUAAAAAAAUAGAAUAGACAUUGCUACAACAGAUUGUACAAGCAUAGUUGCAACACGUCUCUAAUUCUAAUGUAGUAUGCUUCCAUACCAUCAAAUCUCAAUUUUCAGUAAUCGAAUAAGAAAACAGAUUAACUAGAAAAGAUAGAGUCUUGAGCGGUAGAUGGGCUGCCUUGCCGGAGUCGAAUCAACGAUUUCCUGAAAUAGGUGAAAAGUUAGAGACUGAUUAACUCAAGGUAUUAAAACCAAAAAUAGAAAAAAAGAACAAAAAGAGAAGAAGAAUUAUAACAGGGGAUGGGACGGCAGCACCAGCCGCGAGCCACCGCGGCAGAGGCACAACUGGCGGCAGCAACCGCCGGUGCUGCCCGCGCCACGGUGGUCUGCGGCGGUCGCCAGUAGAAAGCGAGAGAGAGAGAGAGAGAGAGAGAGAGAGAGAGAGAGUAGAGAGAAGAAUAAGAAACUAAGACACAACGAGAGAGAGACGGACAGACGAGAAUGCAGAGCGAGAUAGAGGGAGAGAGAGGAGAGCGGGGCAGUGGCCGCCGCAAGCAAGAGGGCAGAUGGGGAGAUCAAGAGGGUAGAGAGAGACAGAUAGAUCCUGAGAGAGAGAGAAAGAGAGUUACCUGAGACGGAAAAGGUAGCGGCGCAACGAGUUGGGAUGGCGACAGUGGCGGCGAGCCUCGUCGGAGGCUGAAUUUCNAAGGCAUUUCUCUGCUCUGAUCGGGCUGCUCUGAAGGCAUUUCUCUGCUCUGAAAAGGCAUUUCUCUGCUCUAAUCGGGCUGGGGUACUUCUCUGCUCCGACCGGGCUGGUGUAUUUCUCUGCUCUGACCGGGCUGCUCUGAGGGCAUUUCUCUGCUCUGAAAGGCAUUUCUCUGCUCUGACCGGGUGCUCUAAGGCAUUUCUCUGCUCUGACCGGGCUGCUCUGAGGGACAUUUCUCUGCUCUGAAAGGGCAUUUCUCUGCUCUGACCGAGCUGCUCUGAGGGACAUUUCUCUGCUCUGAAAGGACAUUUCUCUGUGCUAGUUUGCCUAUGCGCGGAUUAUCUAUUGGUCUUCUCGCGCGCUGGAUUCUUUACGCGCUCAACAACAGGGUAUAUUGUUCAGACUCGACAAAUAUUUAUGACAGGUUUUCUCACAUGAUCGGAGUAUCAUAUUUCUCAACUUCGACAUGGGUCUUCCUAUGUUAUUCGGGUAUUCUUGCAACGGUCUUCUGAUUCAUC
rnacentral:lncRNA from 1 species